GGGUUGUGAGGUUAAGCGACUAAGCGUACACGGUGGAUGCCCUGGCAGUCAGAGGCGAUGAAGGACGUGCUAAUCUGCGAUAAGCGCCGGUAAGGUGAUAUGAACCGUUAUAACCGGCGAUUUCCGAAUGGGGAAACCCAGUGUGACUCGUCACACUAUCAUUAACUGAAUCCAUAGGUUAAUGAGGCGAACCGGGGGAACUGAAACAUCUAAGUACCCCGAGGAAAAGAAAUCAACCGAGAUUCCCCCAGUAGCGGCGAGCGAACGGGGAGGAGCCCAGAGCCUGAAUCAGCAUGUGUGUUAGUGGAAGCGUCUGGAAAGGCGCGCGAUACAGGGUGACAGCCCCGUACACAAAAGCGCAUGUGCUGUGAGCUCGAUGAGUAGGGCGGGACACGUGGUAUCCUGUCUGAAUAUGGGGGGACCAUCCUCCAAGGCUAAAUACUCCUGACUGACCGAUAGUGAACCAGUACCGUGAGGGAAAGGCGAAAAGAACCCCGGCGAGGGGAGUGAAAAAGAACCUGAAACCGUGUACGUACAAGCAGUGGGAGCACAGGUUUACCUGUGUGACUGCGUACCUUUUGUAUAAUGGGUCAGCGACUUAUAUUCUGUAGCAAGGUUAACCGAAUAGGGGAGCCGUAGGGAAACCGAGUCUUAACCGGGCGUUAAGUUGCAGGGUAUAGACCCGAAACCCGGUGAUCUAGCCAUGGGCAGGUUGAAGGUUGGGUAACACUAACUGGAGGACCGAACCGACUAAUGUUGAAAAAUUAGCGGAUGACCUGUGGCUGGGGGUGAAAGGCCAAUCAAACCGGGAGAUAGCUGGUUCUCCCCGAAAGCUAUUUAGGUAGCGCCUCGUGAAUUCAUCUCCGGGGGUAGA
rnacentral:rRNA from 1 species